GAUGAACGCUGGCGGCGUGCCUAAUACAUGCAAGUCGAGCGAACGGACGAGAAGCUUGCUUCUCUGUUGUUAGCGGCGGACGGGUGAGUAACACGUGGAUAACCUACCUAUAAGACUGGGAUAACUUCGGGAAACCGGAGCUAAUACCGGAUAAUAUUUUGAACCGCAUGGUUCAAAAGUGAAAGACGGUCUUGCUGUCACUUAUAGAUGGAUCCGCGCUGCAUUAGCUAGUUGGUAAGGUAACGGCUUACCAAGGCAACGAUGCAUAGCCGACCUGAGAGGGUGAUCGGCCACACUGGAACUGAGACACGGUCCAGACGCCUACGGGAGGCAGCAGUAGGGAAUCUUCCGCAAUGGGCGAAAGCCUGACGGAGCAACGCCGCGUGAGUGAUGAAGGUCUUCGGAUCGUAAAACUCUGUUAUUAGGGAAGAACAUAUGUGUAAGUAACUGUGCACAUCUUGACGGUACCUAAUCAGAAAGCCACGGCUAACUACGUG
rnacentral:rRNA from 1 species